CUCUGUCCAGAAGAGCGCAGUUUGAUUUGAUACUGAUAUUGAAACAGUUUGUCUUUUCAAUCAGGUUACAGUUGUUGGGUUCAUUCUUAGUUGCACUGUAGCAUGACACAAUUAAAAGCUACACUUUAGCUAUUAGCAAUGACUAAUAGCCGCUCAUUUUACUAGACUCCUUGAACCUCUCCUUUCCCUAUUAUGUCCCUCCAUUUAAUUUCUUACUGUGUUAAUUUAACCUCUCCUGUGUCCCUUCUCAUGCAGUUAUCCUCGCUGUCACAGGAGGCUGUUGCUGCUACCACCAGCCCUCUGGCUUAUGUUCCUUCCUGAUAUUCAAAUAAUACCCUCUACUUUUACCAAUUAUUGUCUGUUAAUAUAAUAGUGUACUAUGCUGUGGCUGGUUUUACUGCUGUACAUCAGCUCUUCAGUUAAAAUAUUUUCAACACCUUUUUUCAGGACAAUAAUUUCACUUGGACAAUGGAGUUAUCUGUAGGAUUCAUGAUUAUGCUUUUCAUUUAUACACCUUAAACAGGACACUAAUUUCACCUGGCAAUGAAGCUAUUUGUGGGAUUCAUGAUUUUGCUUUUCACUUAUGCAGCUUCAACCGCAGCUCCAAUAAACAUUGCUUCAGCAUCAAUAGAGAAUGCAAGUCCUCAAACGGGCAUUUACCUUGACACUGGCAUCAUAGCUGGUAUUGUCAUUGUCACUGUGAUUGUCUUUGCAUUGAUAGGAAUGUCUGACCAGGAGCAGGCUGGUACAACUACAAGUCAGGACACAUUCUGUGCAGAAUGUUGCAACGACUGCUGGAAAUGUUGUAGAGGUUUUGUAUCCUGUUGUUGUACUGAAUCCCUCAACAUAGCUUGUGACAUAUGCUGCUGUCUAUUUUAAAUGGAAAAAUUCAUCAACAAUAACUGUUUCCCUCCUCCUUUGGAUGCUGUACACACUACAGUUAUUGUGAGUUGAUUGCCUGGGCUCACCUUUCAUUUCACAGAAUACGAAGUGUUUAUAUAUAAAUAAAAACAAUAACAAUAAUAAUAACAAUAACAAUACAUUGUAUGUUAAGCACCUUUCAAAACACUCAAGGUCAUCUUAUGCAAAAUAAGUAAAUGAUAAAAUAAUAGAAAAAAAAUACCCACCCCUCUCUUUUCACAUCAGAGAUAUCCCAUAUUCCCCUGCACUAGUUAUAUAGAGUAUUUUCUUGUUUGUGUUUAUUGAAUAUAUCUGUACUAUGUUGUUUUGUUGUUGUUGACAGUAGUCCUUUAAUAUUACACAAAGAUAACUAGAUUAAAUAUAAAAUACAAUCUAAAUGAUGAUUUAAUUCAUUAAGGGAAAAAGAAUCUUUCCAAACCUACCUGACGCUACAUGAAGAAUUCCACCCUUGUUAACACAUCAACCACAUUUCUUUGAAAGUUGUUUUCAGUAUCUCAGCCCACACCCAGGCUUUUCAUUGGCAGGUCUGAUUACUCAAGAAAUCAUUUAAAUAGAAGCUGUCUGAGAAAUUGAAGUAGGCCAAAAGACGUCAAAAAGCAUAGAAUAUCUGGCUAUUAGUUGACAUUGUAAAGCUGAGGCACAUGUAGGUUAAGCAGAAGGUCAGUGAUCUGAAACAUGCCAGCAAGUCCAUCGUUGAACCCCUCGGAAAAAAACAAGAUGAAUAUUUUUAGAGUGGCUUAGUCUUAAUUUACAUCAGAUUAAGAUGCUUUGAUUGGACCUUAAACAUGCUGUUCAUGCUCGAAAACCCUCCAAUGUGGCUGCGUUCAAAUAAUUCGGCAAAAAAGAGAGAGCAAAGGUGGCAAAGCGCUUUGGUUUAAUUUGUUACACAAGUAGGUUUGGUUAGUUUUUAUGUUGGGUUUUUUUUUCAUUAAUAAAUUAAAUCAUAACUUAAAAAAAUAUUCUACAUAAUCAUGUUGUGUUUGUCUAUUACUACAAUUUGAUUGAUGAUCUGAAAAAUUUGCAAAACCUAAUAAAUCAGGAAGGGGCUGAUCCCUUUUCACAGCACUGUA